rnacentral:rRNA from 1 species
UACGAGGGGUGCAAGCGUUGCUCGGAAUUAUUGGGCGUAAAGGGUAGGUAGGUGGUCUCGUUUGUCUGGGGUGAAAUCCUUGAGCUUAACUCAAGAAGUGCCCUAGAAACGGCGAGACUAGAGUACUGGAGAGGGUCGUGGAAUUCCCGGUGUAGCGGUGAAAUGCGUAGAUAUCCGGAGGAACACCGGUGGCGAAGGCGGCUUCCUGGACCGACACUGACGCUGAGGCGCGAAAGCUAGGGGAGCAAACGGG